rnacentral:lncRNA from 1 species
GUACAAUCAUAUGGCAUCCAAACUAGAGGUUCAGUUAAAUGAUGCAUAUGUACCACAUUUAGAAAAUGUGUAUUCAUUCUAUUUUGGUUACUGUAUUUCCUAUACUUCAUCCGAAUCAUGUCUAUAACCUUAUGAGCUGAAGGAGAACAUCAACCACAUUUUACACAAUGCAGAAACAACCUACAGAGUUUGAGAUCAACAGA